AAUGCCUACGGGGCGCAGCAGUGGGGAAUAUUGCACAAUGGGGGAAACCCUGAUGCAGCGACGCCGCGUGAGCGAUGAAGUAUUUCGGUAUGUAAAGCUCUAUCAGCAGGGAAGAAAAUGACGGUACCUGACUAAGAAGCCCCGGCUAACUACGUGCCAGCAGCCGCGGUAAUACGUAGGGGGCAAGCGUUAUCCGGAUUUACUGGGUGUAAAGGGAGCGUAGGCGGUCCUGCAAGCCAGGU
rnacentral:rRNA from 1 species